rnacentral:rRNA from 1 species
UACGGGGGGGGCAAGCGUUGUUCGGAAUUACUGGGCGUAAAGGGCUCGUAGGCGGCCAACUAAGUCAGACGUGAAAUCCCCCGGCUUAACCGGGGAACUGCGUCUGAUACUGGAUGGCUUGAGUUUGGGAGAGGGAUGCGGAAUUCCAGGUGUAGCGGUGAAAUGCGUAGAUAUCUGGAGGAACACCGGUGGCGAAGGCGGCAUCCUGGACCAAUACUGACGCUGAGGAGCGAAAGCCAGGGGAGCAAACGGG